AUUGAACGCUGGCGGCAUGCCUUACACAUGCAAGUCGAACGGUAACAGGUUAAGCUGACGAGUGGCGAACGGGUGAGUAAUGUAUCGGAACGUGCCCAGUCGUGGGGGAUAACUGCUCGAAAGAGCAGCUAAUACCGCAUACGACCUGAGGGUGAAAGCGGGGGAUCGCAAGACCUCGCGCGAUUGGAGCGGCCGAUAUCAGAUUAGGUAGUUGGUGGGGUAAAGGCCCACCAAGCCAACGAUCUGUAGCUGGUCUGAGAGGACGACCAGCCACACUGGGACUGAGACACGGCCCAGACUCCUACGGGAGGCAGCAGUGGGGAAUUUUGGACAAUGGGCGCAAGCCUGAUCCAGCCAUGCCGCGUGCGGGAAGAAGGCCUUCGGGUUGUAAACCGCUUUUGUCAGGGAAGAAAAGGUUCUGGUUAAUACCUGGGACUCAUGACGGUACCUGAAGAAUAAGCACCGGCUAACUACGUGCCAGCAGCCGCGGUAA
rnacentral:rRNA from 1 species